ACAAUGCGGGACUAUUUGUCUUGCAAUUGGAUUGAGAACAAUGUACAACUCUUAUCGAUAAGCCAUUGGAGGGCAAGUCUGGUGCCAGCAGCCGCGGUAAUUCCAGCUCCAAUAGCGUAUAUUAACGUUGUUGCAGUUAAAAAGCUCGUAGUUGAAGUGUGGGUGGUGCCAUCUGUGAAGCUUCGGCUUCUAAGAUGAUCACUACCCCCUUCCAGUAUCCAGUAGUGGGUAUUCAGUUACUUGCUAUUGUGUGUUGGUCAUUUACUGUGAGAAAAUUAGAGUGUUCAAAGCAGGCGUUUGCUUGAAUAGAUUAGCAUGGAAUAAUAAUUGAAGGCUUUCGUGUUCGAUUUGAUUGGUUUGUUCAUGGAAGCAAGGUUAAAAGGAACAGUUGGGGGUAUUCAUAUUCACUAGUUAGAGGUGAAAUUCUCGGAUUUAUGGAAGAU
rnacentral:rRNA from 1 species